GAUGAACGCUGGCGGCGUGCCUAAUACAUGCAAGUCGAGCGAACGGACGAGAAGCUUGCUUCUCUGAUGUUAGCGGCGGACGGGUGAGUAACACGUGGAUAACCUACCUAUAAGACUGGGAUAACUUCGGGAAACCGGAGCUAAUACCGGAUAAUAUAUUGAACCGCAUGGUUCAAAAGUGAAAGACGGUCUUGCUGUCACUUAUAGAUGGAUCCGCGCUGCAUUAGCUAGUUGGUAAGGUAACGGCUUACCAAGGCGACGAUGCGUAGCCGACCUGAGAGGGUGAUCGGCCACACUGGAACUGAGACACGGUCCAGACUACUACGGGAGGGAGCAGUAGGGAAUCUUCCGCAAUGGGCGAAAGCCUGACGGAGCAACGCAGCGUGAGUGAUGAAGGUCUUCGGAUCGUAAAACUCUGUUAUUAGGGAAGAACAAAUGUGUAAGUAACUAUGCACGUCUUGACGGGACCUAAUCAGAAAGCCACGGCUAACUACGUG
rnacentral:rRNA from 1 species